CGGAGGGUGCGAGCGUUGUCCGGAAUCACUGGGCGUAAAGGGCGCGUAGGCGGCCUGAUAAGUAGGGGGUGAAAUCCUGCGGCUUAACCGCAGGGCUGCCUUCUAAACUGUCAGGCUUGAGCACAGUAGAGGCAGGUGGAAUUCCCGGUGUAGCGGUGGAAUGCGUAGAGAUCGGGAAGAACAUCAGUGGCGAAGGCGGCCUGCUGGGCUGUUGCUGACGCUGAGGCGCGACAGCGUGGGGAGCAAACAGGAUUAGAUACCCUGGUAGUCCACGCCGUAAACGAUGGGCACUAGGCGUCGGGGGGAGCGACCCUCCCGGUGCCGUCGCUAACGCAGUAAGUGCCCCGCCUGGGGAGUACGGCCGCAAGGCUG
rnacentral:rRNA from 1 species